GCAAACUUGGUCAUUUAGAGGAAGUAAAAGUCGUAACAAGGUCUCCGUUGGUGAACCAGCGGAGGGAUCAUUAUAGAGUGUUACAACUCCCUAAACCACUGUGAACAUACCUAUGUUGCUUCGGCGGGAUCGCCCCGUGGCCCCCCGUGGCCCGGAAUCAGGCGCCCGCCGGAGGCCCUAAACUCUAGUUUUCAACUUGUCUUCUGAGUGGCGCAAGCAAAUAAAUAAAUCAAAACUUUCAACAACGGAUCUCUUGGUUCUGGCAUCGAUGAAGAACGCAGC
rnacentral:misc_RNA from 1 species